rnacentral:tRNA from 1 species
GGAGGUAUAGCUCAGCGAUAGAGCCCUUGCUUAGCAUGCAUGAGGUCCCGGUUUCAAUCCUUGCUUCCA